rnacentral:lncRNA from 1 species
UUUGACAACAAUUCGGCAGCAAAGAGAAUAAAUUCAAAACGUCAAAAGAUUAGGAGCAACCGAGAUUUGGGAAAAGAAACAGUUAUCAUUCGGCUUGGGAAAAAAAGAAAAAGAAUAAAAGAUGAAAACAGAGAGAAAAACCAAAAGCAGAAAUGACAAAACUAUCAGAAAAUUGGGGACUGAGAGAGGGUAGCCGAAAUUGCCACUACUAGUUUCGGUUCUAUCAAAACUCCUCCAUCCAAAUAUCUACAAAACACUCCCCUCAAUCCCCAAAUCCCUUAACAACCAAAAUU